ACUAUCAGCCAUAACCCAACUUAUACAUGCAAGUAUCCGCAUCCCUGUGAGAAUGCCCUCAAUCCCCCGCCCGGGGACGAGGAGCAGGCAUCAGGCACAACCCACAGCCCAAGACGCCUUGCUACGCCACACCCCCAAGGGAACUCAGCAGUAAUAAACAUUAAGCCAUAAGUGCAAACUUGACUUAGUCAGGGUUAAGAGGGUCGGUAAAAUUCGUGCCAGCCACCGCGGUUAUACGAAAGACCCCAGUUGAUAAACACGGCGUAAAGGGUGGUUAAGGGAAACAACUAAUAAAGCUAAAGACCCUCUAAGCCGUCAUACGCACUCCGAGGUCACGAAACCCAAACACGAAAGUAGCUUUAAACCUAUAACACCUGACCCCACGAAAGCUAAGAAACAAACUGGGAUUAGAUACCCCACUAUGCUUAGCCAUAAACCUAGAUGUACACUUACACACACAUCCGCCAGGGUACUACAAGCAUAGCUUAAAACCCAAAGGACUUGGCGGUGUCUCAGACCCAU
rnacentral:rRNA from 1 species